CUACGGAGGAUGCAAGCGUUAUCCGGAUUUAUUGGGUUUAAAGGGUGCGUAGGCGGAUGAUUAAGCGUGAGGUGAAAUGCCACUGCUCAACAGUGGAACUGCCUCGCGAACUGGUUGUCUUGAAUGCUCCUGCCGUGGGAGGAAUGUGUGGUGUAGCGGUGAAAUGCAUAGAGAUCACACAGAACGCCGAUUGCGAAGGCAUCUCACGAAGGGGUGAUUGACGCUGAGGCACGAAAGCGUGGGGAUCAAACAGGAUUAGAUACCCUGGUAGUCCACGCAGUAAACGAUGAUAACUAACCGCUGGGUCGUAGUGAUUCAGUGGCCAAGCGAAAGCGAUAAGUUAUCCACCUGGGGAGUACGACCGCAAGGUUGAAACUCAAAUGAAUUGACGGGG
rnacentral:rRNA from 1 species